AUUUAGUGUCAUACUAUUUUGAAUAUAUAAUGAGUUUCUUUCACGAAGAUAUUAAUGGUAUGAAGUUUCACAAAAAAUGCCAAUGUUUCAAAAAGAUAGUAAUAACCAACUAUAAUCAAAGUUUUGUUUCCUAAAAACACUUUGACCAGCAGAAGAUCCGUACAAGACACAACGUUCAAUUGAUUCAGAAUUGCGCAGUAAACCUCUAGUGAAAGUGUUGUCUGCUAAAAGUAUAAACAAAGAUCCGUACAAGACACAACGUUCAAUUGAUUCAGAAUUGCGCAGUAAACCUCUAGUGAAAGUGUUGUCUGCUAAAAGUAUAAACAAAGAUCCAUACAAGACACAACGUUCAAUUGAUUCUGAAUUGCGCAGUAAACCUCUAGUGAAAGUGUUGUCUGCUGAAAGUAUAAACA